CCUACGGGAGACAGCAGUGGGGAAUAUUGCACAAUGGGGGAAACCCUGAUGCAGCGACGCCGCGUGAGUGAAGAAGUAAUUCGUUAUGUAAAGCUCUAUCAGCAGGGAAGAAAAUGACGGUACCUGCGUAAGAAGCCCCGGCUAACUACGUGCCAGCAGCCGCGGUAAUACGGAGGGGGCAAGCGUUAUCCGGAUUUACUGGGUGUAACGGGAGCGUAGACGGCAGUGCAAGUCUGGAGUGAAAGGCGGGGGCUCAACCCCCGGACUGCUCUGGAAACUGUACGGCUGGAGUGCAGGAGAGGUAAGUGGAAUGCCUAGUGUAGCGGUGAAAUGCGUAGAUAUUAGGAGGAACACCAGUGGCGAAGGCAGCCUGCUGGACAGAAACUGACGUUGAGGCUCGAAAGCGUGGGGAGCAAACAGGAUUAGAUACCCCAGUAGUC
rnacentral:rRNA from 1 species